AGGUGUAAUGCGUGAGAAUUGAACCCCAGACCUCUCCCGUGCUAAGGGAGCGCUCUACCACUGAGCUAUACCCCC